GACGAACGCUGGCGGCGUGCCUAAUACAUGCAAGUCGUGCGGACCUUUUAAAAGCUUGCUUUUAAAAGGUUAGCGGCGGACGGGUGAGUAACACGUGGGCAACCUGCCUGUAAGACUGGGAUAACGCCGGGAAACCGGGGCUAAUACCAGAUCGUUUUUUCCUCCGCAUGGAGGAAAAAGGAAAGGCGGCUUCGGCUGCCACUUACAGGUGGGCCCGCGGCGCAUUAGCUAGUUGGCGGGGUAACGGCCCACCAAGGCAACGAUGCGUAGCCGACCGGAGAGGGUGGUCGGCCAAAAUGGGAAGGGGACAAGGCCCAAAAUCCUACGGGAGGCAGCAGGAGGGGAUCUUCCGAAAUGGACGAAAGUCUGAAGGAGAAACGCCGGGGGAGUGAAGAAGGCCUUCGGGUCGUAAAACUCUGUUGCCGGGGAAGAAAAAGUGGCGUUCGAACAGGGCGGCGCCUUGACGGUACCCGGACAGAAAGCCACGGCUAACUACGUG
rnacentral:rRNA from 1 species